rnacentral:rRNA from 1 species
AUUGAACGCUGGCGGCAUGCCUUACACAUGCAAGUCGAACGGCAGCACGGGUGCUUGCACCUGGUGGCGAGUGGCGAACGGGUGAGUAAUAUAUCGGAACGUACCUUAUUGUGGGGGAUAACGCAGCGAAAGCUGUGCUAAUACCGCAUAAUCCCGAAGGGGGAAAGCGGGGGACCGUAAGGCCGCGCGCAAUUAGAGCGGCCGAUACCUGAUUAGCUAGUUGGUGAGGGAAAGGCUCACCAAGGCAACGAUCAGUAGCUGGUCUGAGAGGACGAUCAGCCACACUGGGACUGAGACACGGCCCAGACUCCUACGGGGGGCAGCAGUGGGGAAUUUUGGACAAUGGGGGCAACCCUGAUCCAGCAAUGCCGCGUGAGUGAAGAAGGCCUUCGGGUUGUAAAGCUCUUUUGUCAGGGAAGAAACAGCAGCUCUAACACAGUAUGCGAAUGACGGUACCUGAAGAAUAAGCACCGGCUAACUACGUGCCAGCCGCCGCAGUAA